GAUGAACGCGGGCGGCGUGCUUAACACAUGCAAGUCGAACGAACCUUGAGGAGCUUGCUCCUCUUGGUUAGUGGCGGACGGGUGAGUAACGCGUGGGUAACCUGCCCUAUAGAGGGGGAUAACGUUUGGAAACGAACGCUAAUACCGCAUAACAAAGAAUCUUCGCAUGAAGAAUCUUUCAAAGAUUUAUCGCUAUAGGAUGGACCCGCGUUGGAUUAGCUAGUUGGUGAGAUAACAGCCCACCAAGGCGACGAUCCAUAGCCGGCCUGAGAGGGUGAACGGCCACAUUGGGACUGAGACACGGCCCAAACUCCUACGGGAGGCAGCAGUGGGGAAUAUUGCACAAUGGGCGCAAGCCUGAUGCAGCGACGCCGCGUGAAGGAUGAAGGUCUUCGGAUUGUAAACUUCUAUCAGCAGGGAAGAAUAAGAACUUUAGUUCUUUAAUGACGGUACCUGACUAAGAAGCACCGGCUAACUACGUGCCAGCAGCCGCGGUAAUACGUAGGGUGCGAGCGUUAUCCGGAAUUACUGGGUGUAAAGGGUGCGUAGGCGGCUAAGUAAGUCAGAUGUGAAAACUCAGGGCUCAACCUUGAGGCUGCAUUUGAAACUGCGUAGCUAGAGUGUGGGAGAGGAAAGUGGAAUUCCGAGUGUAGCGGUGAAAUGCGUAGAGAUUCGGAGGAACACCAGUAGCGAAGGCGGCUUUCUGGACCAUAACUGACGCUGAGGCACGAAAGCGUGGGGAGCAAACAGGAUUAGAUACCCUGGUAGUCCACGCUGUAAACGAUGAAUGCUAGGUGUUGGGGGCGACAGCUUUCAGUGCCGAAGUUAACACAUUAAGCAUUCCACCUGGGAAGUACGAUCGCAAGAUUG
rnacentral:rRNA from 1 species